rnacentral:lncRNA from 1 species
ACUGACUCUUGUUGGCCUAUCAGGACAUCUUAAAACUCCAUGAUUUACAUUUCAGUAAUUUAGGGGGAAGAGGUUUUCUGGGGAUGGGCCUGAGCAUGCUUCGGUAGUAGUUACAAGCCCUGGUUUACACCUCAGGAAGAGUUUUGUAUUGCAGACAUUAUGCCAUGUGUCUGUUUAGAAUAACAUGGGUGCUUCCUUCCUUCCUGGUGUGGGGAGAAGGAAUAAAAGCUGUACUGUGAAGUCAUUGAGCUCUCAGGCAUCUGCCCACGAGAGUGCAGUAUUACUGUGGUUCCUUUCCUUCCUCAGGGCCUGGUGACUGCUCCCCCUUUGCUCUGGAUGAGGCACAGGGAGACAGGCCCUCACCAGAGUCUGUAAGCCAUACUUGACUUCUGCGUUGAUUUACAUGUUGUUAUUUUAUAUGUACUGUGAUCUUGGUUCCAGACACAGAAUUAUUGUCGUAUUCUCACGAGAUGUGCUGAUCAUUGUAUAACUUAACUUAUAGAAUUGUUUUUAGUGUUGUUUGUGUGAAACUACAUGCUCAAGAAAUCAUAAAGAGUUAAGACUACUUUGGUCUCAUUGAAAUACUGUUUUGAUUUCCAAUAAAUAUUUAUUUUGUC